GUACUCGAUGGCUCAGCUGGAUAGAGCGUCUGCCCUGUAAGCAGGAGAUCCCGGGUUCGAGUCCCUGUCGAGGCG